UGGACACAGAGGGAAAGGAGGUCUCCCAGAACUCAGGCACAUCACGGCCUUCUCGCACUUAGGAACGCUAGACAGCUCUUCAGCACCAUGCUUGGGGGACCUUUUAAACGCUGAUAUCACCACUAAAAGGCCCAAAGAUGCAAAGCACGUGGCACUAAACAGACCGAGAAAAGACACUCGUUCACAGUAUAAGAGCCGAAAUGAGAAGGCACCCUCGUUCAGCCUCGUCUGGGAACCCACACAUAGGGCUACUCAAGAUUUUCUCUGCUUUGCGCCUGUCCAAGAAUAACCACAAAAGCCCUUCGCGUAUUGAUUCUGGGCUUCUAAUAAAUUUCAGCGAGUAGGCAAAUUCGCAGACACAGAAUCUGGGAAUCAUGAGGGCCAACUGUGUCAACAGCGCAGAUGUUAGAAACUAUGACGGACAGGAAGAGGUCUUGGACUUUGGUUCUGUCUUGAUGAGAGACACACUUGAUGAAAGGUCUCAGGCAAGUGAAUGCAAAUCUCUAAGACUGUUUCAUCUUCUGUAAAAUGGGAAUGUGCAUGCUCUGUCUUUCUUUCUGUUUCUGUACCGCCCUUUCCUUCUUAAAGCUGGUUGUGAAGAAGUUUGUUGAGGAAUUAUGAGAAGUUUGCUGCAGGGCAGUUGAGGAUAGAAGAAGAUCACAGGAGGAGGAAACAGGGUCAAAAAAGGUAAGAGCCCAGGGGAGGUAGAUUUGGACUCCAUAUAAGGAAGAAGGUUUUUUUUUUUUUGAGACAGAGUUUCGCUUUUGUCGCCCAGGCUGGAGUGCAAUGGUGCGAUCUCGGCUUACUGCAACCCCCGCCUCGCGGGUUCAAGCGAUUCUCUCGCCUCAGCCUCCUGAGUAGCUGGGAUUACAGGCACAUGCCACCACAUCCGGCCAAUUUUUGUAUUUUUAGUAGAGAUGGGGUUUCUCCACGUUGGUCAGGCUGGUCUCGAACUCCUGACCUCAGGUGAUCAGCCCACUUCAGCCUCCCAAAGUGCUAGGAUUACAGGCGUGAGCCACCAAGCCCAGCCUCCUACUCUUGAUUUUUAUAAAAGUACGAGCCCCUCCAGAGCAUGAGGGAUUGUGGAUAGACUUCAGGGGCCUGUGCACUUGUACAGGAAAAAAAAUCCUAUGUCUUCAUUUUCAUCAUCCUCCAACAAAAACUCAACCUUUCCUCAAUUAAAUAUGUAAGCAGCAAACCAUGCUAGUUUCAGCAAGACCCAUGCCUGUAUCCCCAGUAGGAAUCACAGAUAUCUCCAUAUCCCAUCACAGUGGUGCAGAUUUCCCAAAAUAGUGUUUAUGCGCCUCGUGAUUUUGAAAUUAGAGUUGUUAAAAUCCACCGCCAAUGUCUAACAUGUUGACAAAAAAAGAUGAUAUUAUGAUAUCACAAAUUUUGCUUUUGAAAAAUAUUUUGAGAAACUACAUUUUAGUGUAACUGGCCUCUUUUGUUAUUUCAUGUUAUGCAUUUAUAAGCAUUAUUCUGAGAAGGACCACGGCAGCCUGCCAAAGAGAUCCAUGACCCCCUAAAAGCCAAAGGACCCAGUUUUAGAGUAAAUGGACCCCUGACCACUACGUGGUGGAUGCGGCCAGAGGAUGGGGACUGGGCAGAGAAGAAGGAAGCGGGAAGGGAGGAGCAAGGCAGAGCGUGGCCUCUGGAGGAGACAGUUGGAGGGUAAGGGGUGGCACUGGCAAGCCUAGUGGGGGAUGUGUUGGAGGGAAGGCACACAGCCCAGUGGAGUAGGGGCAACAUCCAGGAAGGGAGCAGCAGGCCCCUACCAGGAUAGCCAGGGCUGUGGCAGGACCAUGGGUUCAGAGGGCUGCCUGCCUGGGUUAAAAUCCCCCCUCCUUCCUUGAGCCUCAGUUUCCCCCUCUGU
rnacentral:lncRNA from 1 species